rnacentral:rRNA from 1 species
UACAGAGGUCUCAAGCGUUGUUCGGAUUCAUUGGGCGUAAAGGGUGCGUAGGCGGCGCGGUAAGUCGGGUGUGAAAUCUCGGAGCUUAACUCCGAAACUGCAUUCGAUACUGCCGUGCUUGAGGACUGGAGAGGAGACUGGAAUUCUCGGUGUAGCGGUGAAAUGCGUAGAUAUCGAGAGGAACACCUGCGGCGAAGGCGGGUUGCUGGGCUGAUACUGACGCUGAUGCGCGAAAGCCAGGGGAGCGAACGGG